UACGUAGGGAGCGAGCGUUGUCCGGAAUUACUGGGCGUAAAGGGUGCGUAGGCGGCUACGUAAGUCAGAUGUGAAAUCCCCGGGCUUAACUCGGGGGGUGCAUUUGAAACUGCGUGGCUUGAGUGCAGGAGAGGAAAGUGGAAUUCCUAGUGUAGCGGUGGAAUGCGUAGAUAUUAGGAGGAACACCAGUGGCGAAGGCGACUUUCUGGACUGUAACUGACGCUGAGGCACGAAAGCGUGGGGAGCAAACAGG
rnacentral:rRNA from 1 species